rnacentral:rRNA from 1 species
UACGAAGGGGGCUAGCGUUGCUCGGAAUCACUGGGCGUAAAGCGCACGUAGGCGGAUUGUUAAGUCAGGGGUGAAAUCCUGGAGCUCAACUCCAGAACUGCCUUUGAUACUGGCGAUCUCGAGUCCGGGAGAGGUGAGUGGAACUGCGAGUGUAGAGGUGAAAUUCGUAGAUAUUCGCAAGAACACCAGUGGCGAAGGCGGCUCACUGGCCCGGUACUGACGCUGAGGUGCGGAAAGCGUGGGGAGCAAACAGGG